GGGUCCCAGUGGGCAGUGUCAGCUCCUGGUCCUCAAAUCCAGGCCUUUGGUUCUUUCACAGACUGCACCCCUGUGGCCCGGAUUGGCACUGGCCAUUGUUAGGGCUCUUGGUAGCUGUGGAGUAAAGUUCUGCCUCCUCUCUCAUUGUCGUUCUCCAUCUGGCUGUCUAGAUGAUGCUGUCCCGGAAUUGUCCCAGACUUGUCAGGAAAAGCCCUGGAUGCCCAGAACAAGCAACCGCCCUGUGUGUACCAAGCGGACUAAGAGGCCAGGGGCAGCAUUGGGGCUCAGGGGAAAUGUGAACACAAACAGCCAGAGGAUGCUGUGCUGCCAAGGGGGUUCUACUCAGGGCUGGCUGGUAGGGUGACAUCUGGACAGGGUCUUUGGAAAGCCUCGUGGCUGUGGUGCCUCACUCCCAAGCAGGAAGCAUUACUCUUGGUUCACCUUCCCUAACAUCCAGGCAGAUGAGCCAGAAAGAAGUAUCAAAAGACACCUGGCCGUUUCUGCCUUGUCCAGGGAUUUUGUGGAAGGAGAGAGAUGGUUCUGGAAAGAGCAGAUGCACCGUCUAGAUUCUUAAAAGUCUGGGAACCAGUGUUUCUGUGUCUGUUUGUACCUCUAGGUCUCUCUCCCUCUCCCUCUCCCUUUCCUUCUCCCUCGCCCCCCUUCCGUGUCUCUGUCUCUGUCUCUUUGUGCUUUUGUGACUAUGAAUCGAUGGGUUGUGUGAGCCCAGUUCUGGAUCCAAGGCCCGAGAGUGUUUGUUGUGAAGCAGGUCCAGUGAGAGUCCACGUUGUAGCAGUCCUUUCUGGGCUGAGGUCAGCGUUGUGUGAGAAGGACAGGUUGGAUUGUGAGGGGAAGCCUGAAGCCCGCAUGCCUGGCCUGGGGUGGUAUAUUCAUUCUUUCUUUGGAUAUGUCCUCGUCUUCUGCUCAGGGUGCCGGGCGGCCUGGAGUUGAGAUUGCGGACUUGAUCUUCCCGGACCUUCUGAGGCCUCGGUCGUGGACAGAUGGCGGCUGGAUGACUCUUUGGCCCAGCAUCAGCCAAAAGUCCCAUUGAAGGGAUGCAAGAGAUAACAAGCUGUGUGCACGAAUGAUGCUGUCCCGGAAUUGUCCCAGACUUGUCAGGAAAAGCCCUGGAUGCCCAGAACAAGCAACCGCCCUGUGUGUACCAAGCGGACUAAGAGGCCAGGGGCAGCAUUGGGGCUCAGGGGAAAUGUGAACACAAACAGCCAGAGGAUGCUGUGCUGCCAAGGGGGUUCUACUCAGGGCUGGCUGGUAGGGUGACAUCUGGACAGGGUCUUUGGAAAGCCUCGUGGCUGUGGUGCCUCACUCCCAAGCAGGAAGCAUUACUCUUGGUUCACCUUCCCUAACAUCCAGGCAGAUGAGCCAGAAAGAAGUAUCAAAAGACACCUGGCCGUUUCUGCCUUGUCCAGGGAUUUUGUGGAAGGAGAGAGAUGGUUCUGGAAAGAGCAGAUGCACCGUCUAGAUUCUUAAAAGUCUGGGAACCAGUGUUUCUGUGUCUGUUUGUACCUCUAGGUCUCUCUCCCUCUCCCUCUCCCUUUCCUUCUCCCUCGCCCCCCUUCCGUGUCUCUGUCUCUGUCUCUUUGUGCUUUUGUGACUAUGAAUCGAUGGGUUGUGUGAGCCCAGUUCUGGAUCCAAGGCCCGAGAGUGUUUGUUGUGAAGCAGGUCCAGUGAGAGUCCACGUUGUAGCAGUCCUUUCUGGGCUGAGGUCAGCGUUGUGUGAGAAGGACAGGUUGGAUUGUGAGGGGAAGCCUGAAGCCCGCAUGCCUGGCCUGGGGUGGUAUAUUCAUUCUUUCUUUGGAUAUGUCCUCGUCUUCUGCUCAGGGUGCCGGGCGGCCUGGAGUUGAGAUUGCGGACUUGAUCUUCCCGGACCUUCUGAGGCCUCGGUCGUGGACAGAUGGCGGCUGGAUGACUCUUUGGCCCAGCAUCAGCCAAAAGUCCCAUUGAAGGGAUGCAAGAGAUAACAAGCUGUGUGCACGAGUAAGUAGGACGAGGUUUCCUGGCCUCUUCUUGUCACCUCCCAUCGGAGCAGGGGCUCAGGCCAGGGAAACUGAAGGCCUGUCAGGCACACACAACUGCCCACCCAUGGCACCCGGUCGACUGGAGAGCCUCCUCCUGCCUGGUGGGAAGGCAGUGCUGUGACUAGGGUCCGGUGGAGAGCCUCCUCCUGCCUGGUGGGAAGGCAGUGCUGUGCCUAGUGCCCCAUGGAGCAGUUUGGUGGCCCUCCACCCGCCCUAGUCUCCUCUCGGGCCAUCCUGUGAGGGCCUUCUUGGCUGGCUGCCUCGAUUAGAAAGUUGAGUGUGCCCUGGGAGCAUGGAGUUUGCACCCUGAAGAGGGAAGAGAAGGUGCUGCCUACAGUAUUAGACACCCAUGUGGGCGGAGUCAGGCAGGCAGCUGCUGCUUCCCUGGGCCCGCCCACCUCAGACCAGUGGCCUUUCUGGGCACUUAGUGGGCAGUGUCAGCUCCUGGUCAUCAAGUCGAGGCAUUUCUCUCUUUCUGAGGAUCAGCCCCUGUGAUCCCCAUUGUCACUGACCUUGUGUGGGGCUCUCUGAGGGUCCACUGUGAGAAAAUGGUCACGCCCCUUUGUGAUUUCCUUCCUCUGCCAGAUGCUUCAGUUGCUGGGAGAUGCCCUACAGCUGAGGAUUGCCUGAGAUUGGCAACCCUUACUGUCUUCUCUGACCUGUGCUCCUACUUUCCCGUGGCACUUAAACACCCUCAAAAGUCCCGAAUCUUCUAGACAAGCUCCACCCAGCACACUCGAGUGGGGGUUUGCACAAACACACACACGCGCGCGCACACACACACACACACACACACACACACACACACACACAGACCCACUCCCGCCCGCACGCACCGGGGGAUACACAUGGACACACAGGCCACAGAGCAGAACCUAUAAAACUAUGUCUUAGAUAACCCCAGUGUCCUGCAGAGAGACCCAUCUGAGUGUAGCAGAAGUCCUGGUGCUGGUCGGCCAUGUUGGUGGCUUGCGGCUGUGGCAUUUUGGUGUUUUUUGACACGGAAAGGGCGGAGGGAGAGCGCCAGUGCCGACCCAUGGUUAGCAUUCGCAGUGCACUACUGCCAUCAAGCGGAAUUGUUUCGAGUAUUCCUCCUGCAGGCUACUUCGCCUCUCUCAACAUGGCGGCAGUCCUGCUAGUGUCUAGAAAGUUUCCUGGUUAAACGGGAAGGAGCAGGGCUUUCCGAGGAUUUGGUGGCCGAGGAGAGGCCUGUGAGCCUCCAUGAUGCAGCUGUCCAGAGGACAGCACGGGCGACACAGGCUUUGGCUAGAUGGACUCUGCGAGCCCAGCCUCCCAGGUCCUGAGCUAGGGCUGGCAGACAUCUUAGGCUCGACAGGGUGCCCUGGAUCACUGUACACGGGAAUCUGCACCCAGGCCUGCAACUGGGUGUUUGCGGGCAACUUGUCCUGCCCGUCCCUGUUCACCAGAUAGAUCCAGGGUCCCCUGGUUUUCAUUUGAGUCUCCCCAGCACCUGCCUUCCGGGAAGUCAACUCCUGACGCCCCCCAGCACCCCAUGUUAGACCCAGAGACACAGGGCGAGAGGACAGGCUACACAGCUUCUCCUGGCUGUCUCCAAAUCUCUGGGCCAGGUAGCCUUUGGGGGUCACAUGUCUUUAAUCCAAAUAACUCACUGUCGGCCCAAGAUGACCCCACCUCAACCCCUUCCUGUCACUGGCCAGUGUCAUCUCUGAUUUUCCCUUCCUUUCUUUUGGAAAAGGCUCUCUCUUUGGGCUCUUCAGCAGGUGGCGAGCAGGGUCCCAGUGGGCAGUGUCAGCUCCUGGUCCUCAAAUCCAGGCCUUUGGUUCUUUCACAGACUGCACCCCUGUGGCCCGGAUUGGCACUGGCCAUUGUUAGGGCUCUUGGUAGCUGUGGAGUAAAGUUCUGCCUCCUCUCUCAUUGUCGUUCUCCAUCUGGCUCUCUAGAUGAUGCUGUCCCGGAAUUGUCCCAGACUUGUCAGGAAAAGCCCUGGAUGCCCAGAACAAGCAACCGCCCUGUGUGUACCAAGCGGACUAAGAGGCCAGGGGCAGCAUUGGGGCUCAGGGGAAAUGUGAACACAAACAGCCAGAGGAUGCUGUGCUGCCAAGGGGGUUCUACUCAGGGCUGGCUGGUAGGGUGACAUCUGGACAGGGUCUUUGGAAAGCCUCGUGGCUGUGGUGCCUCACUCCCAAGCAGGAAGCAUUACUCUUGGUUCACCUUCCCUAACAUCCAGGCAGAUGAGCCAGAAAGAAGUAUCAAAAGACACCUGGCCGUUUCUGCCUUGUCCAGGGAUUUUGUGGAAGGAGAGAGAUGGUUCUGGAAAGAGCAGAUGCACCGUCUAGAUUCUUAAAAGUCUGGGAACCAGUGUUUCUGUGUCUGUUUGUACCUCUAGGUCUCUCUCCCUCUCCCUCUCCCUUUCCUUCUCCCUCGCCCCCCUUCCGUGUCUCUGUCUCUGUCUCUUUGUGCUUUUGUGACUAUGAAUCGAUGGGUUGUGUGAGCCCAGUUCUGGAUCCAAGGCCCGAGAGUGUUUGUUGUGAAGCAGGUCCAGUGAGAGUCCACGUUGUAGCAGUCCUUUCUGGGCUGAGGUCAGCGUUGUGUGAGAAGGACAGGUUGGAUUGUGAGGGGAAGCCUGAAGCCCGCAUGCCUGGCCUGGGGUGGUAUAUUCAUUCUUUCUUUGGAUAUGUCCUCGUCUUCUGCUCAGGGUGCCGGGCGGCCUGGAGUUGAGAUUGCGGACUUGAUCUUCCCGGACCUUCUGAGGCCUCGGUCGUGGACAGAUGGCGGCUGGAUGACUCUUUGGCCCAGCAUCAGCCAAAAGUCCCAUUGAAGGGAUGCAAGAGAUAACAAGCUGUGUGCACGAGGUGCCGGGCGGCCUGGAGUUGAGAUUGCGGACUUGAUCUUCCCGGACCUUCUGAGGCCUCGGUCGUGGACAGAUGGCGGCUGGAUGACUCUUUGGCCCAGCAUCAGCCAAAAGUCCCAUUGAAGGGAUGCAAGAGAUAACAAGCUGUGUGCACGAGGUGCCGGGCGGCCUGGAGUUGAGAUUGCGGACUUGAUCUUCCCGGACCUUCUGAGGCCUCGGUCGUGGACAGAUGGCGGCUGGAUGACUCUUUGGCCCAGCAUCAGCCAAAAGUCCCAUUGAAGGGAUGCAAGAGAUAACAAGCUGUGUGCACGAGUAAGUAGGACGAGGUUUCCUGGCCUCUUCUUGUCACCUCCCAUCGGAGCAGGGGCUCAGGCCAGGGAAACUGAAGGCCUGUCAGGCACACACAACUGCCCACCCAUGGCACCCGGUCGACUGGAGAGCCUCCUCCUGCCUGGUGGGAAGGCAGUGCUGUGACUAGGGUCCGGUGGAGAGCCUCCUCCUGCCUGGUGGGAAGGCAGUGCUGUGCCUAGUGCCCCAUGGAGCAGUUUGGUGGCCCUCCACCCGCCCUAGUCUCCUCUCGGGCCAUCCUGUGAGGGCCUUCUUGGCUGGCUGCCUCGAUUAGAAAGUUGAGUGUGCCCUGGGAGCAUGGAGUUUGCACCCUGAAGAGGGAAGAGAAGGUGCUGCCUACAGUAUUAGACACCCAUGUGGGCGGAGUCAGGCAGGCAGCUGCUGCUUCCCUGGGCCCGCCCACCUCAGACCAGUGGCCUUUCUGGGCACUUAGUGGGCAGUGUCAGCUCCUGGUCAUCAAGUCGAGGCAUUUCUCUCUUUCUGAGGAUCAGCCCCUGUGAUCCCCAUUGUCACUGACCUUGUGUGGGGCUCUCUGAGGGUCCACUGUGAGAAAAUGGUCACGCCCCUUUGUGAUUUCCUUCCUCUGCCAGAUGCUUCAGUUGCUGGGAGAUGCCCUACAGCUGAGGAUUGCCUGAGAUUGGCAACCCUUACUGUCUUCUCUGACCUGUGCUCCUACUUUCCCGUGGCACUUAAACACCCUCAAAAGUCCCGAAUCUUCUAGACAAGCUCCACCCAGCACACUCGAGUGGGGGUUUGCACAAACACACACACGCGCGCGCACACACACACACACACACACACACACACACACACACACAGACCCACUCCCGCCCGCACGCACCGGGGGAUACACAUGGACACACAGGCCACAGAGCAGAACCUAUAAAACUAUGUCUUAGAUAACCCCAGUGUCCUGCAGAGAGACCCAUCUGAGUGUAGCAGAAGUCCUGGUGCUGGUCGGCCAUGUUGGUGGCUUGCGGCUGUGGCAUUUUGGUGUUUUUUGACACGGAAAGGGCGGAGGGAGAGCGCCAGUGCCGACCCAUGGUUAGCAUUCGCAGUGCACUACUGCCAUCAAGCGGAAUUGUUUCGAGUAUUCCUCCUGCAGGCUACUUCGCCUCUCUCAACAUGGCGGCAGUCCUGCUAGUGUCUAGAAAGUUUCCUGGUUAAACGGGAAGGAGCAGGGCUUUCCGAGGAUUUGGUGGCCGAGGAGAGGCCUGUGAGCCUCCAUGAUGCAGCUGUCCAGAGGACAGCACGGGCGACACAGGCUUUGGCUAGAUGGACUCUGCGAGCCCAGCCUCCCAGGUCCUGAGCUAGGGCUGGCAGACAUCUUAGGCUCGACAGGGUGCCCUGGAUCACUGUACACGGGAAUCUGCACCCAGGCCUGCAACUGGGUGUUUGCGGGCAACUUGUCCUGCCCGUCCCUGUUCACCAGAUAGAUCCAGGGUCCCCUGGUUUUCAUUUGAGUCUCCCCAGCACCUGCCUUCCGGGAAGUCAACUCCUGACGCCCCCCAGCACCCCAUGUUAGACCCAGAGACACAGGGCGAGAGGACAGGCUACACAGCUUCUCCUGGCUGUCUCCAAAUCUCUGGGCCAGGUAGCCUUUGGGGGUCACAUGUCUUUAAUCCAAAUAACUCACUGUCGGCCCAAGAUGACCCCACCUCAACCCCUUCCUGUCACUGGCCAGUGUCAUCUCUGAUUUUCCCUUCCUUUCUUUUGGAAAAGGCUCUCUCUUUGGGCUCUUCAGCAGGUGGCGAGCAGGGUCCCAGUGGGCAGUGUCAGCUCCUGGUCCUCAAAUCCAGGCCUUUGGUUCUUUCACAGACUGCACCCCUGUGGCCCGGAUUGGCACUGGCCAUUGUUAGGGCUCUUGGUAGCUGUGGAGUAAAGUUCUGCCUCCUCUCUCAUUGUCGUUCUCCAUCUGGCUCUCUAGAUGAUGCUGUCCCGGAAUUGUCCCAGACUUGUCAGGAAAAGCCCUGGAUGCCCAGAACAAGCAACCGCCCUGUGUGUACCAAGCGGACUAAGAGGCCAGGGGCAGCAUUGGGGCUCAGGGGAAAUGUGAACACAAACAGCCAGAGGAUGCUGUGCUGCCAAGGGGGUUCUACUCAGGGCUGGCUGGUAGGGUGACAUCUGGACAGGGUCUUUGGAAAGCCUCGUGGCUGUGGUGCCUCACUCCCAAGCAGGAAGCAUUACUCUUGGUUCACCUUCCCUAACAUCCAGGCAGAUGAGCCAGAAAGAAGUAUCAAAAGACACCUGGCCGUUUCUGCCUUGUCCAGGGAUUUUGUGGAAGGAGAGAGAUGGUUCUGGAAAGAGCAGAUGCACCGUCUAGAUUCUUAAAAGUCUGGGAACCAGUGUUUCUGUGUCUGUUUGUACCUCUAGGUCUCUCUCCCUCUCCCUCUCCCUUUCCUUCUCCCUCGCCCCCCUUCCGUGUCUCUGUCUCUGUCUCUUUGUGCUUUUGUGACUAUGAAUCGAUGGGUUGUGUGAGCCCAGUUCUGGAUCCAAGGCCCGAGAGUGUUUGUUGUGAAGCAGGUCCAGUGAGAGUCCACGUUGUAGCAGUCCUUUCUGGGCUGAGGUCAGCGUUGUGUGAGAAGGACAGGUUGGAUUGUGAGGGGAAGCCUGAAGCCCGCAUGCCUGGCCUGGGGUGGUAUAUUCAUUCUUUCUUUGGAUAUGUCCUCGUCUUCUGCUCAGGGUGCCGGGCGGCCUGGAGUUGAGAUUGCGGACUUGAUCUUCCCGGACCUUCUGAGGCCUCGGUCGUGGACAGAUGGCGGCUGGAUGACUCUUUGGCCCAGCAUCAGCCAAAAGUCCCAUUGAAGGGAUGCAAGAGAUAACAAGCUGUGUGCACGAGUAAGUAGGACGAGGUUUCCUGGCCUCUUCUUGUCACCUCCCAUCGGAGCAGGGGCUCAGGCCAGGGAAACUGAAGGCCUGUCAGGCACACACAACUGCCCACCCAUGGCACCCGGUCGACUGGAGAGCCUCCUCCUGCCUGGUGGGAAGGCAGUGCUGUGACUAGGGUCCGGUGGAGAGCCUCCUCCUGCCUGGUGGGAAGGCAGUGCUGUGCCUAGUGCCCCAUGGAGCAGUUUGGUGGCCCUCCACCCGCCCUAGUCUCCUCUCGGGCCAUCCUGUGAGGGCCUUCUUGGCUGGCUGCCUCGAUUAGAAAGUUGAGUGUGCCCUGGGAGCAUGGAGUUUGCACCCUGAAGAGGGAAGAGAAGGUGCUGCCUACAGUAUUAGACACCCAUGUGGGCGGAGUCAGGCAGGCAGCUGCUGCUUCCCUGGGCCCGCCCACCUCAGACCAGUGGCCUUUCUGGGCACUUAGUGGGCAGUGUCAGCUCCUGGUCAUCAAGUCGAGGCAUUUCUCUCUUUCUGAGGAUCAGCCCCUGUGAUCCCCAUUGUCACUGACCUUGUGUGGGGCUCUCUGAGGGUCCACUGUGAGAAAAUGGUCACGCCCCUUUGUGAUUUCCUUCCUCUGCCAGAUGCUUCAGUUGCUGGGAGAUGCCCUACAGCUGAGGAUUGCCUGAGAUUGGCAACCCUUACUGUCUUCUCUGACCUGUGCUCCUACUUUCCCGUGGCACUUAAACACCCUCAAAAGUCCCGAAUCUUCUAGACAAGCUCCACCCAGCACACUCGAGUGGGGGUUUGCACAAACACACACACGCGCGCGCACACACACACACACACACACACACACACACACACACACACAGACCCACUCCCGCCCGCACGCACCGGGGGAUACACAUGGACACACAGGCCACAGAGCAGAACCUAUAAAACUAUGUCUUAGAUAACCCCAGUGUCCUGCAGAGAGACCCAUCUGAGUGUAGCAGAAGUCCUGGUGCUGGUCGGCCAUGUUGGUGGCUUGCGGCUGUGGCAUUUUGGUGUUUUUUGACACGGAAAGGGCGGAGGGAGAGCGCCAGUGCCGACCCAUGGUUAGCAUUCGCAGUGCACUACUGCCAUCAAGCGGAAUUGUUUCGAGUAUUCCUCCUGCAGGCUACUUCGCCUCUCUCAACAUGGCGGCAGUCCUGCUAGUGUCUAGAAAGUUUCCUGGUUAAACGGGAAGGAGCAGGGCUUUCCGAGGAUUUGGUGGCCGAGGAGAGGCCUGUGAGCCUCCAUGAUGCAGCUGUCCAGAGGACAGCACGGGCGACACAGGCUUUGGCUAGAUGGACUCUGCGAGCCCAGCCUCCCAGGUCCUGAGCUAGGGCUGGCAGACAUCUUAGGCUCGACAGGGUGCCCUGGAUCACUGUACACGGGAAUCUGCACCCAGGCCUGCAACUGGGUGUUUGCGGGCAACUUGUCCUGCCCGUCCCUGUUCACCAGAUAGAUCCAGGGUCCCCUGGUUUUCAUUUGAGUCUCCCCAGCACCUGCCUUCCGGGAAGUCAACUCCUGACGCCCCCCAGCACCCCAUGUUAGACCCAGAGACACAGGGCGAGAGGACAGGCUACACAGCUUCUCCUGGCUGUCUCCAAAUCUCUGGGCCAGGUAGCCUUUGGGGGUCACAUGUCUUUAAUCCAAAUAACUCACUGUCGGCCCAAGAUGACCCCACCUCAACCCCUUCCUGUCACUGGCCAGUGUCAUCUCUGAUUUUCCCUUCCUUUCUUUUGGAAAAGGCUCUCUCUUUGGGCUCUUCAGCAGGUGGCGAGCAGGGUCCCAGUGGGCAGUGUCAGCUCCUGGUCCUCAAAUCCAGGCCUUUGGUUCUUUCACAGACUGCACCCCUGUGGCCCGGAUUGGCACUGGCCAUUGUUAGGGCUCUUGGUAGCUGUGGAGUAAAGUUCUGCCUCCUCUCUCAUUGUCGUUCUCCAUCUGGCUCUCUAGAUGAUGCUGUCCCGGAAUUGUCCCAGACUUGUCAGGAAAAGCCCUGGAUGCCCAGAACAAGCAACCGCCCUGUGUGUACCAAGCGGACUAAGAGGCCAGGGGCAGCAUUGGGGCUCAGGGGAAAUGUGAACACAAACAGCCAGAGGAUGCUGUGCUGCCAAGGGGGUUCUACUCAGGGCUGGCUGGUAGGGUGACAUCUGGACAGGGUCUUUGGAAAGCCUCGUGGCUGUGGUGCCUCACUCCCAAGCAGGAAGCAUUACUCUUGGUUCACCUUCCCUAACAUCCAGGCAGAUGAGCCAGAAAGAAGUAUCAAAAGACACCUGGCCGUUUCUGCCUUGUCCAGGGAUUUUGUGGAAGGAGAGAGAUGGUUCUGGAAAGAGCAGAUGCACCGUCUAGAUUCUUAAAAGUCUGGGAACCAGUGUUUCUGUGUCUGUUUGUACCUCUAGGUCUCUCUCCCUCUCCCUCUCCCUUUCCUUCUCCCUCGCCCCCCUUCCGUGUCUCUGUCUCUGUCUCUUUGUGCUUUUGUGACUAUGAAUCGAUGGGUUGUGUGAGCCCAGUUCUGGAUCCAAGGCCCGAGAGUGUUUGUUGUGAAGCAGGUCCAGUGAGAGUCCACGUUGUAGCAGUCCUUUCUGGGCUGAGGUCAGCGUUGUGUGAGAAGGACAGGUUGGAUUGUGAGGGGAAGCCUGAAGCCCGCAUGCCUGGCCUGGGGUGGUAUAUUCAUUCUUUCUUUGGAUAUGUCCUCGUCUUCUGCUCAGGGUGCCGGGCGGCCUGGAGUUGAGAUUGCGGACUUGAUCUUCCCGGACCUUCUGAGGCCUCGGUCGUGGACAGAUGGCGGCUGGAUGACUCUUUGGCCCAGCAUCAGCCAAAAGUCCCAUUGAAGGGAUGCAAGAGAUAACAAGCUGUGUGCACGAGGUGCCGGGCGGCCUGGAGUUGAGAUUGCGGACUUGAUCUUCCCGGACCUUCUGAGGCCUCGGUCGUGGACAGAUGGCGGCUGGAUGACUCUUUGGCCCAGCAUCAGCCAAAAGUCCCAUUGAAGGGAUGCAAGAGAUAACAAGCUGUGUGCACGAGUAAGUAGGACGAGGUUUCCUGGCCUCUUCUUGUCACCUCCCAUCGGAGCAGGGGCUCAGGCCAGGGAAACUGAAGGCCUGUCAGGCACACACAACUGCCCACCCAUGGCACCCGGUCGACUGGAGAGCCUCCUCCUGCCUGGUGGGAAGGCAGUGCUGUGACUAGGGUCCGGUGGAGAGCCUCCUCCUGCCUGGUGGGAAGGCAGUGCUGUGCCUAGUGCCCCAUGGAGCAGUUUGGUGGCCCUCCACCCGCCCUAGUCUCCUCUCGGGCCAUCCUGUGAGGGCCUUCUUGGCUGGCUGCCUCGAUUAGAAAGUUGAGUGUGCCCUGGGAGCAUGGAGUUUGCACCCUGAAGAGGGAAGAGAAGGUGCUGCCUACAGUAUUAGACACCCAUGUGGGCGGAGUCAGGCAGGCAGCUGCUGCUUCCCUGGGCCCGCCCACCUCAGACCAGUGGCCUUUCUGGGCACUUAGUGGGCAGUGUCAGCUCCUGGUCAUCAAGUCGAGGCAUUUCUCUCUUUCUGAGGAUCAGCCCCUGUGAUCCCCAUUGUCACUGACCUUGUGUGGGGCUCUCUGAGGGUCCACUGUGAGAAAAUGGUCACGCCCCUUUGUGAUUUCCUUCCUCUGCCAGAUGCUUCAGUUGCUGGGAGAUGCCCUACAGCUGAGGAUUGCCUGAGAUUGGCAACCCUUACUGUCUUCUCUGACCUGUGCUCCUACUUUCCCGUGGCACUUAAACACCCUCAAAAGUCCCGAAUCUUCUAGACAAGCUCCACCCAGCACACUCGAGUGGGGGUUUGCACAAACACACACACGCGCGCGCACACACACACACACACACACACACACACACACACACACAGACCCACUCCCGCCCGCACGCACCGGGGGAUACACAUGGACACACAGGCCACAGAGCAGAACCUAUAAAACUAUGUCUUAGAUAACCCCAGUGUCCUGCAGAGAGACCCAUCUGAGUGUAGCAGAAGUCCUGGUGCUGGUCGGCCAUGUUGGUGGCUUGCGGCUGUGGCAUUUUGGUGUUUUUUGACACGGAAAGGGCGGAGGGAGAGCGCCAGUGCCGACCCAUGGUUAGCAUUCGCAGUGCACUACUGCCAUCAAGCGGAAUUGUUUCGAGUAUUCCUCCUGCAGGCUACUUCGCCUCUCUCAACAUGGCGGCAGUCCUGCUAGUGUCUAGAAAGUUUCCUGGUUAAACGGGAAGGAGCAGGGCUUUCCGAGGAUUUGGUGGCCGAGGAGAGGCCUGUGAGCCUCCAUGAUGCAGCUGUCCAGAGGACAGCACGGGCGACACAGGCUUUGGCUAGAUGGACUCUGCGAGCCCAGCCUCCCAGGUCCUGAGCUAGGGCUGGCAGACAUCUUAGGCUCGACAGGGUGCCCUGGAUCACUGUACACGGGAAUCUGCACCCAGGCCUGCAACUGGGUGUUUGCGGGCAACUUGUCCUGCCCGUCCCUGUUCACCAGAUAGAUCCAGGGUCCCCUGGUUUUCAUUUGAGUCUCCCCAGCACCUGCCUUCCGGGAAGUCAACUCCUGACGCCCCCCAGCACCCCAUGUUAGACCCAGAGACACAGGGCGAGAGGACAGGCUACACAGCUUCUCCUGGCUGUCUCCAAAUCUCUGGGCCAGGUAGCCUUUGGGGGUCACAUGUCUUUAAUCCAAAUAACUCACUGUCGGCCCAAGAUGACCCCACCUCAACCCCUUCCUGUCACUGGCCAGUGUCAUCUCUGAUUUUCCCUUCCUUUCUUUUGGAAAAGGCUCUCUCUUUGGGCUCUUCAGCAGGUGGCGAGCAGGGUCCCAGUGGGCAGUGUCAGCUCCUGGUCCUCAAAUCCAGGCCUUUGGUUCUUUCACAGACUGCACCCCUGUGGCCCGGAUUGGCACUGGCCAUUGUUAGGGCUCUUGGUAGCUGUGGAGUAAAGUUCUGCCUCCUCUCUCAUUGUCGUUCUCCAUCUGGCUCUCUAGAUGAUGCUGUCCCGGAAUUGUCCCAGACUUGUCAGGAAAAGCCCUGGAUGCCCAGAACAAGCAACCGCCCUGUGUGUACCAAGCGGACUAAGAGGCCAGGGGCAGCAUUGGGGCUCAGGGGAAAUGUGAACACAAACAGCCAGAGGAUGCUGUGCUGCCAAGGGGGUUCUACUCAGGGCUGGCUGGUAGGGUGACAUCUGGACAGGGUCUUUGGAAAGCCUCGUGGCUGUGGUGCCUCACUCCCAAGCAGGAAGCAUUACUCUUGGUUCACCUUCCCUAACAUCCAGGCAGAUGAGCCAGAAAGAAGUAUCAAAAGACACCUGGCCGUUUCUGCCUUGUCCAGGGAUUUUGUGGAAGGAGAGAGAUGGUUCUGGAAAGAGCAGAUGCACCGUCUAGAUUCUUAAAAGUCUGGGAACCAGUGUUUCUGUGUCUGUUUGUACCUCUAGGUCUCUCUCCCUCUCCCUCUCCCUUUCCUUCUCCCUCGCCCCCCUUCCGUGUCUCUGUCUCUGUCUCUUUGUGCUUUUGUGACUAUGAAUCGAUGGGUUGUGUGAGCCCAGUUCUGGAUCCAAGGCCCGAGAGUGUUUGUUGUGAAGCAGGUCCAGUGAGAGUCCACGUUGUAGCAGUCCUUUCUGGGCUGAGGUCAGCGUUGUGUGAGAAGGACAGGUUGGAUUGUGAGGGGAAGCCUGAAGCCCGCAUGCCUGGCCUGGGGUGGUAUAUUCAUUCUUUCUUUGGAUAUGUCCUCGUCUUCUGCUCAGGGUGCCGGGCGGCCUGGAGUUGAGAUUGCGGACUUGAUCUUCCCGGACCUUCUGAGGCCUCGGUCGUGGACAGAUGGCGGCUGGAUGACUCUUUGGCCCAGCAUCAGCCAAAAGUCCCAUUGAAGGGAUGCAAGAGAUAACAAGCUGUGUGCACGAGGUGCCGGGCGGCCUGGAGUUGAGAUUGCGGACUUGAUCUUCCCGGACCUUCUGAGGCCUCGGUCGUGGACAGAUGGCGGCUGGAUGACUCUUUGGCCCAGCAUCAGCCAAAAGUCCCAUUGAAGGGAUGCAAGAGAUAACAAGCUGUGUGCACGAGUAAGUAGGACGAGGUUUCCUGGCCUCUUCUUGUCACCUCCCAUCGGAGCAGGGGCUCAGGCCAGGGAAACUGAAGGCCUGUCAGGCACACACAACUGCCCACCCAUGGCACCCGGUCGACUGGAGAGCCUCCUCCUGCCUGGUGGGAAGGCAGUGCUGUGACUAGGGUCCGGUGGAGAGCCUCCUCCUGCCUGGUGGGAAGGCAGUGCUGUGCCUAGUGCCCCAUGGAGCAGUUUGGUGGCCCUCCACCCGCCCUAGUCUCCUCUCGGGCCAUCCUGUGAGGGCCUUCUUGGCUGGCUGCCUCGAUUAGAAAGUUGAGUGUGCCCUGGGAGCAUGGAGUUUGCACCCUGAAGAGGGAAGAGAAGGUGCUGCCUACAGUAUUAGACACCCAUGUGGGCGGAGUCAGGCAGGCAGCUGCUGCUUCCCUGGGCCCGCCCACCUCAGACCAGUGGCCUUUCUGGGCACUUAGUGGGCAGUGUCAGCUCCUGGUCAUCAAGUCGAGGCAUUUCUCUCUUUCUGAGGAUCAGCCCCUGUGAUCCCCAUUGUCACUGACCUUGUGUGGGGCUCUCUGAGGGUCCACUGUGAGAAAAUGGUCACGCCCCUUUGUGAUUUCCUUCCUCUGCCAGAUGCUUCAGUUGCUGGGAGAUGCCCUACAGCUGAGGAUUGCCUGAGAUUGGCAACCCUUACUGUCUUCUCUGACCUGUGCUCCUACUUUCCCGUGGCACUUAAACACCCUCAAAAGUCCCGAAUCUUCUAGACAAGCUCCACCCAGCACACUCGAGUGGGGGUUUGCACAAACACACACACGCGCGCGCGCACACACACACACACACACACACACACACACACACACACACAGACCCACUCCCGCCCGCACGCACCGGGGGAUACACAUGGACACACAGGCCACAGAGCAGAACCUAUAAAACUAUGUCUUAGAUAACCCCAGUGUCCUGCAGAGAGACCCAUCUGAGUGUAGCAGAAGUCCUGGUGCUGGUCGGCCAUGUUGGUGGCUUGCGGCUGUGGCAUUUUGGUGUUUUUUGACACGGAAAGGGCGGAGGGAGAGCGCCAGUGCCGACCCAUGGUUAGCAUUCGCAGUGCACUACUGCCAUCAAGCGGAAUUGUUUCGAGUAUUCCUCCUGCAGGCUACUUCGCCUCUCUCAACAUGGCGGCAGUCCUGCUAGUGUCUAGAAAGUUUCCUGGUUAAACGGGAAGGAGCAGGGCUUUCCGAGGAUUUGGUGGCCGAGGAGAGGCCUGUGAGCCUCCAUGAUGCAGCUGUCCAGAGGACAGCACGGGCGACACAGGCUUUGGCUAGAUGGACUCUGCGAGCCCAGCCUCCCAGGUCCUGAGCUAGGGCUGGCAGACAUCUUAGGCUCGACAGGGUGCCCUGGAUCACUGUACACGGGAAUCUGCACCCAGGCCUGCAACUGGGUGUUUGCGGGCAACUUGUCCUGCCCGUCCCUGUUCACCAGAUAGAUCCAGGGUCCCCUGGUUUUCAUUUGAGUCUCCCCAGCACCUGCCUUCCGGGAAGUCAACUCCUGACGCCCCCCAGCACCCCAUGUUAGACCCAGAGACACAGGGCGAGAGGACAGGCUACACAGCUUCUCCUGGCUGUCUCCAAAUCUCUGGGCCAGGUAGCCUUUGGGGGUCACAUGUCUUUAAUCCAAAUAACUCACUGUCGGCCCAAGAUGACCCCACCUCAACCCCUUCCUGUCACUGGCCAGUGUCAUCUCUGAUUUUCCCUUCCUUUCUUUUGGAAAAGGCUCUCUCUUUGGGCUCUUCAGCAGGUGGCGAGCAGGGUCCCAGUGGGCAGUGUCAGCUCCUGGUCCUCAAAUCCAGGCCUUUGGUUCUUUCACAGACUGCACCCCUGUGGCCCGGAUUGGCACUGGCCAUUGUUAGGGCUCUUGGUAGCUGUGGAGUAAAGUUCUGCCUCCUCUCUCAUUGUCGUUCUCCAUCUGGCUCUCUAGAUGAUGCUGUCCCGGAAUUGUCCCAGACUUGUCAGGAAAAGCCCUGGAUGCCCAGAACAAGCAACCGCCCUGUGUGUACCAAGCGGACUAAGAGGCCAGGGGCAGCAUUGGGGCUCAGGGGAAAUGUGAACACAAACAGCCAGAGGAUGCUGUGCUGCCAAGGGGGUUCUACUCAGGGCUGGCUGGUAGGGUGACAUCUGGACAGGGUCUUUGGAAAGCCUCGUGGCUGUGGUGCCUCACUCCCAAGCAGGAAGCAUUACUCUUGGUUCACCUUCCCUAACAUCCAGGCAGAUGAGCCAGAAAGAAGUAUCAAAAGACACCUGGCCGUUUCUGCCUUGUCCAGGGAUUUUGUGGAAGGAGAGAGAUGGUUCUGGAAAGAGCAGAUGCACCGUCUAGAUUCUUAAAAGUCUGGGAACCAGUGUUUCUGUGUCUGUUUGUACCUCUAGGUCUCUCUCCCUCUCCCUCUCCCUUUCCUUCUCCCUCGCCCCCCUUCCGUGUCUCUGUCUCUGUCUCUUUGUGCUUUUGUGACUAUGAAUCGAUGGGUUGUGUGAGCCCAGUUCUGGAUCCAAGGCCCGAGAGUGUUUGUUGUGAAGCAGGUCCAGUGAGAGUCCACGUUGUAGCAGUCCUUUCUGGGCUGAGGUCAGCGUUGUGUGAGAAGGACAGGUUGGAUUGUGAGGGGAAGCCUGAAGCCCGCAUGCCUGGCCUGGGGUGGUAUAUUCAUUCUUUCUUUGGAUAUGUCCUCGUCUUCUGCUCAGGGUGCCGGGCGGCCUGGAGUUGAGAUUGCGGACUUGAUCUUCCCGGACCUUCUGAGGCCUCGGUCGUGGACAGAUGGCGGCUGGAUGACUCUUUGGCCCAGCAUCAGCCAAAAGUCCCAUUGAAGGGAUGCAAGAGAUAACAAGCUGUGUGCACGAGUAAGUAGGACGAGGUUUCCUGGCCUCUUCUUGUCACCUCCCAUCGGAGCAGGGGCUCAGGCCAGGGAAACUGAAGGCCUGUCAGGCACACACAACUGCCCACCCAUGGCACCCGGUCGACUGGAGAGCCUCCUCCUGCCUGGUGGGAAGGCAGUGCUGUGACUAGGGUCCGGUGGAGAGCCUCCUCCUGCCUGGUGGGAAGGCAGUGCUGUGCCUAGUGCCCCAUGGAGCAGUUUGGUGGCCCUCCACCCGCCCUAGUCUCCUCUCGGGCCAUCCUGUGAGGGCCUUCUUGGCUGGCUGCCUCGAUUAGAAAGUUGAGUGUGCCCUGGGAGCAUGGAGUUUGCACCCUGAAGAGGGAAGAGAAGGUGCUGCCUACAGUAUUAGACACCCAUGUGGGCGGAGUCAGGCAGGCAGCUGCUGCUUCCCUGGGCCCGCCCACCUCAGACCAGUGGCCUUUCUGGGCACUUAGUGGGCAGUGUCAGCUCCUGGUCAUCAAGUCGAGGCAUUUCUCUCUUUCUGAGGAUCAGCCCCUGUGAUCCCCAUUGUCACUGACCUUGUGUGGGGCUCUCUGAGGGUCCACUGUGAGAAAAUGGUCACGCCCCUUUGUGAUUUCCUUCCUCUGCCAGAUGCUUCAGUUGCUGGGAGAUGCCCUACAGCUGAGGAUUGCCUGAGAUUGGCAACCCUUACUGUCUUCUCUGACCUGUGCUCCUACUUUCCCGUGGCACUUAAACACCCUCAAAAGUCCCGAAUCUUCUAGACAAGCUCCACCCAGCACACUCGAGUGGGGGUUUGCACAAACACACACACGCGCGCGCACACACACACACACACACACACACACACACACACAGACCCACUCCCGCCCGCACGCACCGGGGGAUACACAUGGACACACAGGCCACAGAGCAGAACCUAUAAAACUAUGUCUUAGAUAACCCCAGUGUCCUGCAGAGAGACCCAUCUGAGUGUAGCAGAAGUCCUGGUGCUGGUCGGCCAUGUUGGUGGCUUGCGGCUGUGGCAUUUUGGUGUUUUUUGACACGGAAAGGGCGGAGGGAGAGCGCCAGUGCCGACCCAUGGUUAGCAUUCGCAGUGCACUACUGCCAUCAAGCGGAAUUGUUUCGAGUAUUCCUCCUGCAGGCUACUUCGCCUCUCUCAACAUGGCGGCAGUCCUGCUAGUGUCUAGAAAGUUUCCUGGUUAAACGGGAAGGAGCAGGGCUUUCCGAGGAUUUGGUGGCCGAGGAGAGGCCUGUGAGCCUCCAUGAUGCAGCUGUCCAGAGGACAGCACGGGCGACACAGGCUUUGGCUAGAUGGACUCUGCGAGCCCAGCCUCCCAGGUCCUGAGCUAGGGCUGGCAGACAUCUUAGGCUCGACAGGGUGCCCUGGAUCACUGUACACGGGAAUCUGCACCCAGGCCUGCAACUGGGUGUUUGCGGGCAACUUGUCCUGCCCGUCCCUGUUCACCAGAUAGAUCCAGGGUCCCCUGGUUUUCAUUUGAGUCUCCCCAGCACCUGCCUUCCGGGAAGUCAACUCCUGACGCCCCCCAGCACCCCAUGUUAGACCCAGAGACACAGGGCGAGAGGACAGGCUACACAGCUUCUCCUGGCUGUCUCCAAAUCUCUGGGCCAGGUAGCCUUUGGGGGUCACAUGUCUUUAAUCCAAAUAACUCACUGUCGGCCCAAGAUGACCCCACCUCAACCCCUUCCUGUCACUGGCCAGUGUCAUCUCUGAUUUUCCCUUCCUUUCUUUUGGAAAAGGCUCUCUCUUUGGGCUCUUCAGCAGGUGGCGAGCAGGGUCCCAGUGGGCAGUGUCAGCUCCUGGUCCUCAAAUCCAGGCCUUUGGUUCUUUCACAGACUGCACCCCUGUGGCCCGGAUUGGCACUGGCCAUUGUUAGGGCUCUUGGUAGCUGUGGAGUAAAGUUCUGCCUCCUCUCUCAUUGUCGUUCUCCAUCUGGCUCUCUAGAUGAUGCUGUCCCGGAAUUGUCCCAGACUUGUCAGGAAAAGCCCUGGAUGCCCAGAACAAGCAACCGCCCUGUGUGUACCAAGCGGACUAAGAGGCCAGGGGCAGCAUUGGGGCUCAGGGGAAAUGUGAACACAAACAGCCAGAGGAUGCUGUGCUGCCAAGGGGGUUCUACUCAGGGCUGGCUGGUAGGGUGACAUCUGGACAGGGUCUUUGGAAAGCCUCGUGGCUGUGGUGCCUCACUCCCAAGCAGGAAGCAUUACUCUUGGUUCACCUUCCCUAACAUCCAGGCAGAUGAGCCAGAAAGAAGUAUCAAAAGACACCUGGCCGUUUCUGCCUUGUCCAGGGAUUUUGUGGAAGGAGAGAGAUGGUUCUGGAAAGAGCAGAUGCACCGUCUAGAUUCUUAAAAGUCUGGGAACCAGUGUUUCUGUGUCUGUUUGUACCUCUAGGUCUCUCUCCCUCUCCCUCUCCCUUUCCUUCUCCCUCGCCCCCCUUCCGUGUCUCUGUCUCUGUCUCUUUGUGCUUUUGUGACUAUGAAUCGAUGGGUUGUGUGAGCCCAGUUCUGGAUCCAAGGCCCGAGAGUGUUUGUUGUGAAGCAGGUCCAGUGAGAGUCCACGUUGUAGCAGUCCUUUCUGGGCUGAGGUCAGCGUUGUGUGAGAAGGACAGGUUGGAUUGUGAGGGGAAGCCUGAAGCCCGCAUGCCUGGCCUGGGGUGGUAUAUUCAUUCUUUCUUUGGAUAUGUCCUCGUCUUCUGCUCAGGGUGCCGGGCGGCCUGGAGUUGAGAUUGCGGACUUGAUCUUCCCGGACCUUCUGAGGCCUCGGUCGUGGACAGAUGGCGGCUGGAUGACUCUUUGGCCCAGCAUCAGCCAAAAGUCCCAUUGAAGGGAUGCAAGAGAUAACAAGCUGUGUGCACGAGUAAGUAGGACGAGGUUUCCUGGCCUCUUCUUGUCACCUCCCAUCGGAGCAGGGGCUCAGGCCAGGGAAACUGAAGGCCUGUCAGGCACACACAACUGCCCACCCAUGGCACCCGGUCGACUGGAGAGCCUCCUCCUGCCUGGUGGGAAGGCAGUGCUGUGACUAGGGUCCGGUGGAGAGCCUCCUCCUGCCUGGUGGGAAGGCAGUGCUGUGCCUAGUGCCCCAUGGAGCAGUUUGGUGGCCCUCCACCCGCCCUAGUCUCCUCUCGGGCCAUCCUGUGAGGGCCUUCUUGGCUGGCUGCCUCGAUUAGAAAGUUGAGUGUGCCCUGGGAGCAUGGAGUUUGCACCCUGAAGAGGGAAGAGAAGGUGCUGCCUACAGUAUUAGACACCCAUGUGGGCGGAGUCAGGCAGGCAGCUGCUGCUUCCCUGGGCCCGCCCACCUCAGACCAGUGGCCUUUCUGGGCACUUAGUGGGCAGUGUCAGCUCCUGGUCAUCAAGUCGAGGCAUUUCUCUCUUUCUGAGGAUCAGCCCCUGUGAUCCCCAUUGUCACUGACCUUGUGUGGGGCUCUCUGAGGGUCCACUGUGAGAAAAUGGUCACGCCCCUUUGUGAUUUCCUUCCUCUGCCAGAUGCUUCAGUUGCUGGGAGAUGCCCUACAGCUGAGGAUUGCCUGAGAUUGGCAACCCUUACUGUCUUCUCUGACCUGUGCUCCUACUUUCCCGUGGCACUUAAACACCCUCAAAAGUCCCGAAUCUUCUAGACAAGCUCCACCCAGCACACUCGAGUGGGGGUUUGCACAAACACACACACGCGCGCGCGCACACACACACACACACACACACACACACACACACACACACAGACCCACUCCCGCCCGCACGCACCGGGGGAUACACAUGGACACACAGGCCACAGAGCAGAACCUAUAAAACUAUGUCUUAGAUAACCCCAGUGUCCUGCAGAGAGACCCAUCUGAGUGUAGCAGAAGUCCUGGUGCUGGUCGGCCAUGUUGGUGGCUUGCGGCUGUGGCAUUUUGGUGUUUUUUGACACGGAAAGGGCGGAGGGAGAGCGCCAGUGCCGACCCAUGGUUAGCAUUCGCAGUGCACUACUGCCAUCAAGCGGAAUUGUUUCGAGUAUUCCUCCUGCAGGCUACUUCGCCUCUCUCAACAUGGCGGCAGUCCUGCUAGUGUCUAGAAAGUUUCCUGGUUAAACGGGAAGGAGCAGGGCUUUCCGAGGAUUUGGUGGCCGAGGAGAGGCCUGUGAGCCUCCAUGAUGCAGCUGUCCAGAGGACAGCACGGGCGACACAGGCUUUGGCUAGAUGGACUCUGCGAGCCCAGCCUCCCAGGUCCUGAGCUAGGGCUGGCAGACAUCUUAGGCUCGACAGGGUGCCCUGGAUCACUGUACACGGGAAUCUGCACCCAGGCCUGCAACUGGGUGUUUGCGGGCAACUUGUCCUGCCCGUCCCUGUUCACCAGAUAGAUCCAGGGUCCCCUGGUUUUCAUUUGAGUCUCCCCAGCACCUGCCUUCCGGGAAGUCAACUCCUGACGCCCCCCAGCACCCCAUGUUAGACCCAGAGACACAGGGCGAGAGGACAGGCUACACAGCUUCUCCUGGCUGUCUCCAAAUCUCUGGGCCAGGUAGCCUUUGGGGGUCACAUGUCUUUAAUCCAAAUAACUCACUGUCGGCCCAAGAUGACCCCACCUCAACCCCUUCCUGUCACUGGCCAGUGUCAUCUCUGAUUUUCCCUUCCUUUCUUUUGGAAAAGGCUCUCUCUUUGGGCUCUUCAGCAGGUGGCGAGCAGGGUCCCAGUGGGCAGUGUCAGCUCCUGGUCCUCAAAUCCAGGCCUUUGGUUCUUUCACAGACUGCACCCCUGUGGCCCGGAUUGGCACUGGCCAUUGUUAGGGCUCUUGGUAGCUGUGGAGUAAAGUUCUGCCUCCUCUCUCAUUGUCGUUCUCCAUCUGGCUCUCUAGAUGAUGCUGUCCCGGAAUUGUCCCAGACUUGUCAGGAAAAGCCCUGGAUGCCCAGAACAAGCAACCGCCCUGUGUGUACCAAGCGGACUAAGAGGCCAGGGGCAGCAUUGGGGCUCAGGGGAAAUGUGAACACAAACAGCCAGAGGAUGCUGUGCUGCCAAGGGGGUUCUACUCAGGGCUGGCUGGUAGGGUGACAUCUGGACAGGGUCUUUGGAAAGCCUCGUGGCUGUGGUGCCUCACUCCCAAGCAGGAAGCAUUACUCUUGGUUCACCUUCCCUAACAUCCAGGCAGAUGAGCCAGAAAGAAGUAUCAAAAGACACCUGGCCGUUUCUGCCUUGUCCAGGGAUUUUGUGGAAGGAGAGAGAUGGUUCUGGAAAGAGCAGAUGCACCGUCUAGAUUCUUAAAAGUCUGGGAACCAGUGUUUCUGUGUCUGUUUGUACCUCUAGGUCUCUCUCCCUCUCCCUCUCCCUUUCCUUCUCCCUCGCCCCCCUUCCGUGUCUCUGUCUCUGUCUCUUUGUGCUUUUGUGACUAUGAAUCGAUGGGUUGUGUGAGCCCAGUUCUGGAUCCAAGGCCCGAGAGUGUUUGUUGUGAAGCAGGUCCAGUGAGAGUCCACGUUGUAGCAGUCCUUUCUGGGCUGAGGUCAGCGUUGUGUGAGAAGGACAGGUUGGAUUGUGAGGGGAAGCCUGAAGCCCGCAUGCCUGGCCUGGGGUGGUAUAUUCAUUCUUUCUUUGGAUAUGUCCUCGUCUUCUGCUCAGGGUGCCGGGCGGCCUGGAGUUGAGAUUGCGGACUUGAUCUUCCCGGACCUUCUGAGGCCUCGGUCGUGGACAGAUGGCGGCUGGAUGACUCUUUGGCCCAGCAUCAGCCAAAAGUCCCAUUGAAGGGAUGCAAGAGAUAACAAGCUGUGUGCACGAGUAAGUAGGACGAGGUUUCCUGGCCUCUUCUUGUCACCUCCCAUCGGAGCAGGGGCUCAGGCCAGGGAAACUGAAGGCCUGUCAGGCACACACAACUGCCCACCCAUGGCACCCGGUCGACUGGAGAGCCUCCUCCUGCCUGGUGGGAAGGCAGUGCUGUGACUAGGGUCCGGUGGAGAGCCUCCUCCUGCCUGGUGGGAAGGCAGUGCUGUGCCUAGUGCCCCAUGGAGCAGUUUGGUGGCCCUCCACCCGCCCUAGUCUCCUCUCGGGCCAUCCUGUGAGGGCCUUCUUGGCUGGCUGCCUCGAUUAGAAAGUUGAGUGUGCCCUGGGAGCAUGGAGUUUGCACCCUGAAGAGGGAAGAGAAGGUGCUGCCUACAGUAUUAGACACCCAUGUGGGCGGAGUCAGGCAGGCAGCUGCUGCUUCCCUGGGCCCGCCCACCUCAGACCAGUGGCCUUUCUGGGCACUUAGUGGGCAGUGUCAGCUCCUGGUCAUCAAGUCGAGGCAUUUCUCUCUUUCUGAGGAUCAGCCCCUGUGAUCCCCAUUGUCACUGACCUUGUGUGGGGCUCUCUGAGGGUCCACUGUGAGAAAAUGGUCACGCCCCUUUGUGAUUUCCUUCCUCUGCCAGAUGCUUCAGUUGCUGGGAGAUGCCCUACAGCUGAGGAUUGCCUGAGAUUGGCAACCCUUACUGUCUUCUCUGACCUGUGCUCCUACUUUCCCGUGGCACUUAAACACCCUCAAAAGUCCCGAAUCUUCUAGACAAGCUCCACCCAGCACACUCGAGUGGGGGUUUGCACAAACACACACACGCGCGCGCACACACACACACACACACACACACACACACACACACACAGACCCACUCCCGCCCGCACGCACCGGGGGAUACACAUGGACACACAGGCCACAGAGCAGAACCUAUAAAACUAUGUCUUAGAUAACCCCAGUGUCCUGCAGAGAGACCCAUCUGAGUGUAGCAGAAGUCCUGGUGCUGGUCGGCCAUGUUGGUGGCUUGCGGCUGUGGCAUUUUGGUGUUUUUUGACACGGAAAGGGCGGAGGGAGAGCGCCAGUGCCGACCCAUGGUUAGCAUUCGCAGUGCACUACUGCCAUCAAGCGGAAUUGUUUCGAGUAUUCCUCCUGCAGGCUACUUCGCCUCUCUCAACAUGGCGGCAGUCCUGCUAGUGUCUAGAAAGUUUCCUGGUUAAACGGGAAGGAGCAGGGCUUUCCGAGGAUUUGGUGGCCGAGGAGAGGCCUGUGAGCCUCCAUGAUGCAGCUGUCCAGAGGACAGCACGGGCGACACAGGCUUUGGCUAGAUGGACUCUGCGAGCCCAGCCUCCCAGGUCCUGAGCUAGGGCUGGCAGACAUCUUAGGCUCGACAGGGUGCCCUGGAUCACUGUACACGGGAAUCUGCACCCAGGCCUGCAACUGGGUGUUUGCGGGCAACUUGUCCUGCCCGUCCCUGUUCACCAGAUAGAUCCAGGGUCCCCUGGUUUUCAUUUGAGUCUCCCCAGCACCUGCCUUCCGGGAAGUCAACUCCUGACGCCCCCCAGCACCCCAUGUUAGACCCAGAGACACAGGGCGAGAGGACAGGCUACACAGCUUCUCCUGGCUGUCUCCAAAUCUCUGGGCCAGGUAGCCUUUGGGGGUCACAUGUCUUUAAUCCAAAUAACUCACUGUCGGCCCAAGAUGACCCCACCUCAACCCCUUCCUGUCACUGGCCAGUGUCAUCUCUGAUUUUCCCUUCCUUUCUUUUGGAAAAGGCUCUCUCUUUGGGCUCUUCAGCAGGUGGCGAGCAGGGUCCCAGUGGGCAGUGUCAGCUCCUGGUCCUCAAAUCCAGGCCUUUGGUUCUUUCACAGACUGCACCCCUGUGGCCCGGAUUGGCACUGGCCAUUGUUAGGGCUCUUGGUAGCUGUGGAGUAAAGUUCUGCCUCCUCUCUCAUUGUCGUUCUCCAUCUGGCUCUCUAGAUGAUGCUGUCCCGGAAUUGUCCCAGACUUGUCAGGAAAAGCCCUGGAUGCCCAGAACAAGCAACCGCCCUGUGUGUACCAAGCGGACUAAGAGGCCAGGGGCAGCAUUGGGGCUCAGGGGAAAUGUGAACACAAACAGCCAGAGGAUGCUGUGCUGCCAAGGGGGUUCUACUCAGGGCUGGCUGGUAGGGUGACAUCUGGACAGGGUCUUUGGAAAGCCUCGUGGCUGUGGUGCCUCACUCCCAAGCAGGAAGCAUUACUCUUGGUUCACCUUCCCUAACAUCCAGGCAGAUGAGCCAGAAAGAAGUAUCAAAAGACACCUGGCCGUUUCUGCCUUGUCCAGGGAUUUUGUGGAAGGAGAGAGAUGGUUCUGGAAAGAGCAGAUGCACCGUCUAGAUUCUUAAAAGUCUGGGAACCAGUGUUUCUGUGUCUGUUUGUACCUCUAGGUCUCUCUCCCUCUCCCUCUCCCUUUCCUUCUCCCUCGCCCCCCUUCCGUGUCUCUGUCUCUGUCUCUUUGUGCUUUUGUGACUAUGAAUCGAUGGGUUGUGUGAGCCCAGUUCUGGAUCCAAGGCCCGAGAGUGUUUGUUGUGAAGCAGGUCCAGUGAGAGUCCACGUUGUAGCAGUCCUUUCUGGGCUGAGGUCAGCGUUGUGUGAGAAGGACAGGUUGGAUUGUGAGGGGAAGCCUGAAGCCCGCAUGCCUGGCCUGGGGUGGUAUAUUCAUUCUUUCUUUGGAUAUGUCCUCGUCUUCUGCUCAGGGUGCCGGGCGGCCUGGAGUUGAGAUUGCGGACUUGAUCUUCCCGGACCUUCUGAGGCCUCGGUCGUGGACAGAUGGCGGCUGGAUGACUCUUUGGCCCAGCAUCAGCCAAAAGUCCCAUUGAAGGGAUGCAAGAGAUAACAAGCUGUGUGCACGAGUAAGUAGGACGAGGUUUCCUGGCCUCUUCUUGUCACCUCCCAUCGGAGCAGGGGCUCAGGCCAGGGAAACUGAAGGCCUGUCAGGCACACACAACUGCCCACCCAUGGCACCCGGUCGACUGGAGAGCCUCCUCCUGCCUGGUGGGAAGGCAGUGCUGUGACUAGGGUCCGGUGGAGAGCCUCCUCCUGCCUGGUGGGAAGGCAGUGCUGUGCCUAGUGCCCCAUGGAGCAGUUUGGUGGCCCUCCACCCGCCCUAGUCUCCUCUCGGGCCAUCCUGUGAGGGCCUUCUUGGCUGGCUGCCUCGAUUAGAAAGUUGAGUGUGCCCUGGGAGCAUGGAGUUUGCACCCUGAAGAGGGAAGAGAAGGUGCUGCCUACAGUAUUAGACACCCAUGUGGGCGGAGUCAGGCAGGCAGCUGCUGCUUCCCUGGGCCCGCCCACCUCAGACCAGUGGCCUUUCUGGGCACUUAGUGGGCAGUGUCAGCUCCUGGUCAUCAAGUCGAGGCAUUUCUCUCUUUCUGAGGAUCAGCCCCUGUGAUCCCCAUUGUCACUGACCUUGUGUGGGGCUCUCUGAGGGUCCACUGUGAGAAAAUGGUCACGCCCCUUUGUGAUUUCCUUCCUCUGCCAGAUGCUUCAGUUGCUGGGAGAUGCCCUACAGCUGAGGAUUGCCUGAGAUUGGCAACCCUUACUGUCUUCUCUGACCUGUGCUCCUACUUUCCCGUGGCACUUAAACACCCUCAAAAGUCCCGAAUCUUCUAGACAAGCUCCACCCAGCACACUCGAGUGGGGGUUUGCACAAACACACACACGCGCGCGCACACACACACACACACACACACACACACACACACACACAGACCCACUCCCGCCCGCACGCACCGGGGGAUACACAUGGACACACAGGCCACAGAGCAGAACCUAUAAAACUAUGUCUUAGAUAACCCCAGUGUCCUGCAGAGAGACCCAUCUGAGUGUAGCAGAAGUCCUGGUGCUGGUCGGCCAUGUUGGUGGCUUGCGGCUGUGGCAUUUUGGUGUUUUUUGACACGGAAAGGGCGGAGGGAGAGCGCCAGUGCCGACCCAUGGUUAGCAUUCGCAGUGCACUACUGCCAUCAAGCGGAAUUGUUUCGAGUAUUCCUCCUGCAGGCUACUUCGCCUCUCUCAACAUGGCGGCAGUCCUGCUAGUGUCUAGAAAGUUUCCUGGUUAAACGGGAAGGAGCAGGGCUUUCCGAGGAUUUGGUGGCCGAGGAGAGGCCUGUGAGCCUCCAUGAUGCAGCUGUCCAGAGGACAGCACGGGCGACACAGGCUUUGGCUAGAUGGACUCUGCGAGCCCAGCCUCCCAGGUCCUGAGCUAGGGCUGGCAGACAUCUUAGGCUCGACAGGGUGCCCUGGAUCACUGUACACGGGAAUCUGCACCCAGGCCUGCAACUGGGUGUUUGCGGGCAACUUGUCCUGCCCGUCCCUGUUCACCAGAUAGAUCCAGGGUCCCCUGGUUUUCAUUUGAGUCUCCCCAGCACCUGCCUUCCGGGAAGUCAACUCCUGACGCCCCCCAGCACCCCAUGUUAGACCCAGAGACACAGGGCGAGAGGACAGGCUACACAGCUUCUCCUGGCUGUCUCCAAAUCUCUGGGCCAGGUAGCCUUUGGGGGUCACAUGUCUUUAAUCCAAAUAACUCACUGUCGGCCCAAGAUGACCCCACCUCAACCCCUUCCUGUCACUGGCCAGUGUCAUCUCUGAUUUUCCCUUCCUUUCUUUUGGAAAAGGCUCUCUCUUUGGGCUCUUCAGCAGGUGGCGAGCAGGGUCCCAGUGGGCAGUGUCAGCUCCUGGUCCUCAAAUCCAGGCCUUUGGUUCUUUCACAGACUGCACCCCUGUGGCCCGGAUUGGCACUGGCCAUUGUUAGGGCUCUUGGUAGCUGUGGAGUAAAGUUCUGCCUCCUCUCUCAUUGUCGUUCUCCAUCUGGCUCUCUAGAUGAUGCUGUCCCGGAAUUGUCCCAGACUUGUCAGGAAAAGCCCUGGAUGCCCAGAACAAGCAACCGCCCUGUGUGUACCAAGCGGACUAAGAGGCCAGGGGCAGCAUUGGGGCUCAGGGGAAAUGUGAACACAAACAGCCAGAGGAUGCUGUGCUGCCAAGGGGGUUCUACUCAGGGCUGGCUGGUAGGGUGACAUCUGGACAGGGUCUUUGGAAAGCCUCGUGGCUGUGGUGCCUCACUCCCAAGCAGGAAGCAUUACUCUUGGUUCACCUUCCCUAACAUCCAGGCAGAUGAGCCAGAAAGAAGUAUCAAAAGACACCUGGCCGUUUCUGCCUUGUCCAGGGAUUUUGUGGAAGGAGAGAGAUGGUUCUGGAAAGAGCAGAUGCACCGUCUAGAUUCUUAAAAGUCUGGGAACCAGUGUUUCUGUGUCUGUUUGUACCUCUAGGUCUCUCUCCCUCUCCCUCUCCCUUUCCUUCUCCCUCGCCCCCCUUCCGUGUCUCUGUCUCUGUCUCUUUGUGCUUUUGUGACUAUGAAUCGAUGGGUUGUGUGAGCCCAGUUCUGGAUCCAAGGCCCGAGAGUGUUUGUUGUGAAGCAGGUCCAGUGAGAGUCCACGUUGUAGCAGUCCUUUCUGGGCUGAGGUCAGCGUUGUGUGAGAAGGACAGGUUGGAUUGUGAGGGGAAGCCUGAAGCCCGCAUGCCUGGCCUGGGGUGGUAUAUUCAUUCUUUCUUUGGAUAUGUCCUCGUCUUCUGCUCAGGGUGCCGGGCGGCCUGGAGUUGAGAUUGCGGACUUGAUCUUCCCGGACCUUCUGAGGCCUCGGUCGUGGACAGAUGGCGGCUGGAUGACUCUUUGGCCCAGCAUCAGCCAAAAGUCCCAUUGAAGGGAUGCAAGAGAUAACAAGCUGUGUGCACGAGUAAGUAGGACGAGGUUUCCUGGCCUCUUCUUGUCACCUCCCAUCGGAGCAGGGGCUCAGGCCAGGGAAACUGAAGGCCUGUCAGGCACACACAACUGCCCACCCAUGGCACCCGGUCGACUGGAGAGCCUCCUCCUGCCUGGUGGGAAGGCAGUGCUGUGACUAGGGUCCGGUGGAGAGCCUCCUCCUGCCUGGUGGGAAGGCAGUGCUGUGCCUAGUGCCCCAUGGAGCAGUUUGGUGGCCCUCCACCCGCCCUAGUCUCCUCUCGGGCCAUCCUGUGAGGGCCUUCUUGGCUGGCUGCCUCGAUUAGAAAGUUGAGUGUGCCCUGGGAGCAUGGAGUUUGCACCCUGAAGAGGGAAGAGAAGGUGCUGCCUACAGUAUUAGACACCCAUGUGGGCGGAGUCAGGCAGGCAGCUGCUGCUUCCCUGGGCCCGCCCACCUCAGACCAGUGGCCUUUCUGGGCACUUAGUGGGCAGUGUCAGCUCCUGGUCAUCAAGUCGAGGCAUUUCUCUCUUUCUGAGGAUCAGCCCCUGUGAUCCCCAUUGUCACUGACCUUGUGUGGGGCUCUCUGAGGGUCCACUGUGAGAAAAUGGUCACGCCCCUUUGUGAUUUCCUUCCUCUGCCAGAUGCUUCAGUUGCUGGGAGAUGCCCUACAGCUGAGGAUUGCCUGAGAUUGGCAACCCUUACUGUCUUCUCUGACCUGUGCUCCUACUUUCCCGUGGCACUUAAACACCCUCAAAAGUCCCGAAUCUUCUAGACAAGCUCCACCCAGCACACUCGAGUGGGGGUUUGCACAAACACACACACGCGCGCGCACACACACACACACACACACACACACACACACACACACAGACCCACUCCCGCCCGCACGCACCGGGGGAUACACAUGGACACACAGGCCACAGAGCAGAACCUAUAAAACUAUGUCUUAGAUAACCCCAGUGUCCUGCAGAGAGACCCAUCUGAGUGUAGCAGAAGUCCUGGUGCUGGUCGGCCAUGUUGGUGGCUUGCGGCUGUGGCAUUUUGGUGUUUUUUGACACGGAAAGGGCGGAGGGAGAGCGCCAGUGCCGACCCAUGGUUAGCAUUCGCAGUGCACUACUGCCAUCAAGCGGAAUUGUUUCGAGUAUUCCUCCUGCAGGCUACUUCGCCUCUCUCAACAUGGCGGCAGUCCUGCUAGUGUCUAGAAAGUUUCCUGGUUAAACGGGAAGGAGCAGGGCUUUCCGAGGAUUUGGUGGCCGAGGAGAGGCCUGUGAGCCUCCAUGAUGCAGCUGUCCAGAGGACAGCACGGGCGACACAGGCUUUGGCUAGAUGGACUCUGCGAGCCCAGCCUCCCAGGUCCUGAGCUAGGGCUGGCAGACAUCUUAGGCUCGACAGGGUGCCCUGGAUCACUGUACACGGGAAUCUGCACCCAGGCCUGCAACUGGGUGUUUGCGGGCAACUUGUCCUGCCCGUCCCUGUUCACCAGAUAGAUCCAGGGUCCCCUGGUUUUCAUUUGAGUCUCCCCAGCACCUGCCUUCCGGGAAGUCAACUCCUGACGCCCCCCAGCACCCCAUGUUAGACCCAGAGACACAGGGCGAGAGGACAGGCUACACAGCUUCUCCUGGCUGUCUCCAAAUCUCUGGGCCAGGUAGCCUUUGGGGGUCACAUGUCUUUAAUCCAAAUAACUCACUGUCGGCCCAAGAUGACCCCACCUCAACCCCUUCCUGUCACUGGCCAGUGUCAUCUCUGAUUUUCCCUUCCUUUCUUUUGGAAAAGGCUCUCUCUUUGGGCUCUUCAGCAGGUGGCGAGCAGGGUCCCAGUGGGCAGUGUCAGCUCCUGGUCCUCAAAUCCAGGCCUUUGGUUCUUUCACAGACUGCACCCCUGUGGCCCGGAUUGGCACUGGCCAUUGUUAGGGCUCUUGGUAGCUGUGGAGUAAAGUUCUGCCUCCUCUCUCAUUGUCGUUCUCCAUCUGGCUCUCUAGAUGAUGCUGUCCCGGAAUUGUCCCAGACUUGUCAGGAAAAGCCCUGGAUGCCCAGAACAAGCAACCGCCCUGUGUGUACCAAGCGGACUAAGAGGCCAGGGGCAGCAUUGGGGCUCAGGGGAAAUGUGAACACAAACAGCCAGAGGAUGCUGUGCUGCCAAGGGGGUUCUACUCAGGGCUGGCUGGUAGGGUGACAUCUGGACAGGGUCUUUGGAAAGCCUCGUGGCUGUGGUGCCUCACUCCCAAGCAGGAAGCAUUACUCUUGGUUCACCUUCCCUAACAUCCAGGCAGAUGAGCCAGAAAGAAGUAUCAAAAGACACCUGGCCGUUUCUGCCUUGUCCAGGGAUUUUGUGGAAGGAGAGAGAUGGUUCUGGAAAGAGCAGAUGCACCGUCUAGAUUCUUAAAAGUCUGGGAACCAGUGUUUCUGUGUCUGUUUGUACCUCUAGGUCUCUCUCCCUCUCCCUCUCCCUUUCCUUCUCCCUCGCCCCCCUUCCGUGUCUCUGUCUCUGUCUCUUUGUGCUUUUGUGACUAUGAAUCGAUGGGUUGUGUGAGCCCAGUUCUGGAUCCAAGGCCCGAGAGUGUUUGUUGUGAAGCAGGUCCAGUGAGAGUCCACGUUGUAGCAGUCCUUUCUGGGCUGAGGUCAGCGUUGUGUGAGAAGGACAGGUUGGAUUGUGAGGGGAAGCCUGAAGCCCGCAUGCCUGGCCUGGGGUGGUAUAUUCAUUCUUUCUUUGGAUAUGUCCUCGUCUUCUGCUCAGGGUGCCGGGCGGCCUGGAGUUGAGAUUGCGGACUUGAUCUUCCCGGACCUUCUGAGGCCUCGGUCGUGGACAGAUGGCGGCUGGAUGACUCUUUGGCCCAGCAUCAGCCAAAAGUCCCAUUGAAGGGAUGCAAGAGAUAACAAGCUGUGUGCACGAGUAAGUAGGACGAGGUUUCCUGGCCUCUUCUUGUCACCUCCCAUCGGAGCAGGGGCUCAGGCCAGGGAAACUGAAGGCCUGUCAGGCACACACAACUGCCCACCCAUGGCACCCGGUCGACUGGAGAGCCUCCUCCUGCCUGGUGGGAAGGCAGUGCUGUGACUAGGGUCCGGUGGAGAGCCUCCUCCUGCCUGGUGGGAAGGCAGUGCUGUGCCUAGUGCCCCAUGGAGCAGUUUGGUGGCCCUCCACCCGCCCUAGUCUCCUCUCGGGCCAUCCUGUGAGGGCCUUCUUGGCUGGCUGCCUCGAUUAGAAAGUUGAGUGUGCCCUGGGAGCAUGGAGUUUGCACCCUGAAGAGGGAAGAGAAGGUGCUGCCUACAGUAUUAGACACCCAUGUGGGCGGAGUCAGGCAGGCAGCUGCUGCUUCCCUGGGCCCGCCCACCUCAGACCAGUGGCCUUUCUGGGCACUUAGUGGGCAGUGUCAGCUCCUGGUCAUCAAGUCGAGGCAUUUCUCUCUUUCUGAGGAUCAGCCCCUGUGAUCCCCAUUGUCACUGACCUUGUGUGGGGCUCUCUGAGGGUCCACUGUGAGAAAAUGGUCACGCCCCUUUGUGAUUUCCUUCCUCUGCCAGAUGCUUCAGUUGCUGGGAGAUGCCCUACAGCUGAGGAUUGCCUGAGAUUGGCAACCCUUACUGUCUUCUCUGACCUGUGCUCCUACUUUCCCGUGGCACUUAAACACCCUCAAAAGUCCCGAAUCUUCUAGACAAGCUCCACCCAGCACACUCGAGUGGGGGUUUGCACAAACACACACACGCGCGCGCACACACACACACACACACACACACACACACACACACACACAGACCCACUCCCGCCCGCACGCACCGGGGGAUACACAUGGACACACAGGCCACAGAGCAGAACCUAUAAAACUAUGUCUUAGAUAACCCCAGUGUCCUGCAGAGAGACCCAUCUGAGUGUAGCAGAAGUCCUGGUGCUGGUCGGCCAUGUUGGUGGCUUGCGGCUGUGGCAUUUUGGUGUUUUUUGACACGGAAAGGGCGGAGGGAGAGCGCCAGUGCCGACCCAUGGUUAGCAUUCGCAGUGCACUACUGCCAUCAAGCGGAAUUGUUUCGAGUAUUCCUCCUGCAGGCUACUUCGCCUCUCUCAACAUGGCGGCAGUCCUGCUAGUGUCUAGAAAGUUUCCUGGUUAAACGGGAAGGAGCAGGGCUUUCCGAGGAUUUGGUGGCCGAGGAGAGGCCUGUGAGCCUCCAUGAUGCAGCUGUCCAGAGGACAGCACGGGCGACACAGGCUUUGGCUAGAUGGACUCUGCGAGCCCAGCCUCCCAGGUCCUGAGCUAGGGCUGGCAGACAUCUUAGGCUCGACAGGGUGCCCUGGAUCACUGUACACGGGAAUCUGCACCCAGGCCUGCAACUGGGUGUUUGCGGGCAACUUGUCCUGCCCGUCCCUGUUCACCAGAUAGAUCCAGGGUCCCCUGGUUUUCAUUUGAGUCUCCCCAGCACCUGCCUUCCGGGAAGUCAACUCCUGACGCCCCCCAGCACCCCAUGUUAGACCCAGAGACACAGGGCGAGAGGACAGGCUACACAGCUUCUCCUGGCUGUCUCCAAAUCUCUGGGCCAGGUAGCCUUUGGGGGUCACAUGUCUUUAAUCCAAAUAACUCACUGUCGGCCCAAGAUGACCCCACCUCAACCCCUUCCUGUCACUGGCCAGUGUCAUCUCUGAUUUUCCCUUCCUUUCUUUUGGAAAAGGCUCUCUCUUUGGGCUCUUCAGCAGGUGGCGAGCAGGGUCCCAGUGGGCAGUGUCAGCUCCUGGUCCUCAAAUCCAGGCCUUUGGUUCUUUCACAGACUGCACCCCUGUGGCCCGGAUUGGCACUGGCCAUUGUUAGGGCUCUUGGUAGCUGUGGAGUAAAGUUCUGCCUCCUCUCUCAUUGUCGUUCUCCAUCUGGCUCUCUAGAUGAUGCUGUCCCGGAAUUGUCCCAGACUUGUCAGGAAAAGCCCUGGAUGCCCAGAACAAGCAACCGCCCUGUGUGUACCAAGCGGACUAAGAGGCCAGGGGCAGCAUUGGGGCUCAGGGGAAAUGUGAACACAAACAGCCAGAGGAUGCUGUGCUGCCAAGGGGGUUCUACUCAGGGCUGGCUGGUAGGGUGACAUCUGGACAGGGUCUUUGGAAAGCCUCGUGGCUGUGGUGCCUCACUCCCAAGCAGGAAGCAUUACUCUUGGUUCACCUUCCCUAACAUCCAGGCAGAUGAGCCAGAAAGAAGUAUCAAAAGACACCUGGCCGUUUCUGCCUUGUCCAGGGAUUUUGUGGAAGGAGAGAGAUGGUUCUGGAAAGAGCAGAUGCACCGUCUAGAUUCUUAAAAGUCUGGGAACCAGUGUUUCUGUGUCUGUUUGUACCUCUAGGUCUCUCUCCCUCUCCCUCUCCCUUUCCUUCUCCCUCGCCCCCCUUCCGUGUCUCUGUCUCUGUCUCUUUGUGCUUUUGUGACUAUGAAUCGAUGGGUUGUGUGAGCCCAGUUCUGGAUCCAAGGCCCGAGAGUGUUUGUUGUGAAGCAGGUCCAGUGAGAGUCCACGUUGUAGCAGUCCUUUCUGGGCUGAGGUCAGCGUUGUGUGAGAAGGACAGGUUGGAUUGUGAGGGGAAGCCUGAAGCCCGCAUGCCUGGCCUGGGGUGGUAUAUUCAUUCUUUCUUUGGAUAUGUCCUCGUCUUCUGCUCAGGGUGCCGGGCGGCCUGGAGUUGAGAUUGCGGACUUGAUCUUCCCGGACCUUCUGAGGCCUCGGUCGUGGACAGAUGGCGGCUGGAUGACUCUUUGGCCCAGCAUCAGCCAAAAGUCCCAUUGAAGGGAUGCAAGAGAUAACAAGCUGUGUGCACGAGUAAGUAGGACGAGGUUUCCUGGCCUCUUCUUGUCACCUCCCAUCGGAGCAGGGGCUCAGGCCAGGGAAACUGAAGGCCUGUCAGGCACACACAACUGCCCACCCAUGGCACCCGGUCGACUGGAGAGCCUCCUCCUGCCUGGUGGGAAGGCAGUGCUGUGACUAGGGUCCGGUGGAGAGCCUCCUCCUGCCUGGUGGGAAGGCAGUGCUGUGCCUAGUGCCCCAUGGAGCAGUUUGGUGGCCCUCCACCCGCCCUAGUCUCCUCUCGGGCCAUCCUGUGAGGGCCUUCUUGGCUGGCUGCCUCGAUUAGAAAGUUGAGUGUGCCCUGGGAGCAUGGAGUUUGCACCCUGAAGAGGGAAGAGAAGGUGCUGCCUACAGUAUUAGACACCCAUGUGGGCGGAGUCAGGCAGGCAGCUGCUGCUUCCCUGGGCCCGCCCACCUCAGACCAGUGGCCUUUCUGGGCACUUAGUGGGCAGUGUCAGCUCCUGGUCAUCAAGUCGAGGCAUUUCUCUCUUUCUGAGGAUCAGCCCCUGUGAUCCCCAUUGUCACUGACCUUGUGUGGGGCUCUCUGAGGGUCCACUGUGAGAAAAUGGUCACGCCCCUUUGUGAUUUCCUUCCUCUGCCAGAUGCUUCAGUUGCUGGGAGAUGCCCUACAGCUGAGGAUUGCCUGAGAUUGGCAACCCUUACUGUCUUCUCUGACCUGUGCUCCUACUUUCCCGUGGCACUUAAACACCCUCAAAAGUCCCGAAUCUUCUAGACAAGCUCCACCCAGCACACUCGAGUGGGGGUUUGCACAAACACACACACGCGCGCGCGCACACACACACACACACACACACACACACACACACACACAGACCCACUCCCGCCCGCACGCACCGGGGGAUACACAUGGACACACAGGCCACAGAGCAGAACCUAUAAAACUAUGUCUUAGAUAACCCCAGUGUCCUGCAGAGAGACCCAUCUGAGUGUAGCAGAAGUCCUGGUGCUGGUCGGCCAUGUUGGUGGCUUGCGGCUGUGGCAUUUUGGUGUUUUUUGACACGGAAAGGGCGGAGGGAGAGCGCCAGUGCCGACCCAUGGUUAGCAUUCGCAGUGCACUACUGCCAUCAAGCGGAAUUGUUUCGAGUAUUCCUCCUGCAGGCUACUUCGCCUCUCUCAACAUGGCGGCAGUCCUGCUAGUGUCUAGAAAGUUUCCUGGUUAAACGGGAAGGAGCAGGGCUUUCCGAGGAUUUGGUGGCCGAGGAGAGGCCUGUGAGCCUCCAUGAUGCAGCUGUCCAGAGGACAGCACGGGCGACACAGGCUUUGGCUAGAUGGACUCUGCGAGCCCAGCCUCCCAGGUCCUGAGCUAGGGCUGGCAGACAUCUUAGGCUCGACAGGGUGCCCUGGAUCACUGUACACGGGAAUCUGCACCCAGGCCUGCAACUGGGUGUUUGCGGGCAACUUGUCCUGCCCGUCCCUGUUCACCAGAUAGAUCCAGGGUCCCCUGGUUUUCAUUUGAGUCUCCCCAGCACCUGCCUUCCGGGAAGUCAACUCCUGACGCCCCCCAGCACCCCAUGUUAGACCCAGAGACACAGGGCGAGAGGACAGGCUACACAGCUUCUCCUGGCUGUCUCCAAAUCUCUGGGCCAGGUAGCCUUUGGGGGUCACAUGUCUUUAAUCCAAAUAACUCACUGUCGGCCCAAGAUGACCCCACCUCAACCCCUUCCUGUCACUGGCCAGUGUCAUCUCUGAUUUUCCCUUCCUUUCUUUUGGAAAAGGCUCUCUCUUUGGGCUCUUCAGCAGGUGGCGAGCAGGGUCCCAGUGGGCAGUGUCAGCUCCUGGUCCUCAAAUCCAGGCCUUUGGUUCUUUCACAGACUGCACCCCUGUGGCCCGGAUUGGCACUGGCCAUUGUUAGGGCUCUUGGUAGCUGUGGAGUAAAGUUCUGCCUCCUCUCUCAUUGUCGUUCUCCAUCUGGCUCUCUAGAUGAUGCUGUCCCGGAAUUGUCCCAGACUUGUCAGGAAAAGCCCUGGAUGCCCAGAACAAGCAACCGCCCUGUGUGUACCAAGCGGACUAAGAGGCCAGGGGCAGCAUUGGGGCUCAGGGGAAAUGUGAACACAAACAGCCAGAGGAUGCUGUGCUGCCAAGGGGGUUCUACUCAGGGCUGGCUGGUAGGGUGACAUCUGGACAGGGUCUUUGGAAAGCCUCGUGGCUGUGGUGCCUCACUCCCAAGCAGGAAGCAUUACUCUUGGUUCACCUUCCCUAACAUCCAGGCAGAUGAGCCAGAAAGAAGUAUCAAAAGACACCUGGCCGUUUCUGCCUUGUCCAGGGAUUUUGUGGAAGGAGAGAGAUGGUUCUGGAAAGAGCAGAUGCACCGUCUAGAUUCUUAAAAGUCUGGGAACCAGUGUUUCUGUGUCUGUUUGUACCUCUAGGUCUCUCUCCCUCUCCCUCUCCCUUUCCUUCUCCCUCGCCCCCCUUCCGUGUCUCUGUCUCUGUCUCUUUGUGCUUUUGUGACUAUGAAUCGAUGGGUUGUGUGAGCCCAGUUCUGGAUCCAAGGCCCGAGAGUGUUUGUUGUGAAGCAGGUCCAGUGAGAGUCCACGUUGUAGCAGUCCUUUCUGGGCUGAGGUCAGCGUUGUGUGAGAAGGACAGGUUGGAUUGUGAGGGGAAGCCUGAAGCCCGCAUGCCUGGCCUGGGGUGGUAUAUUCAUUCUUUCUUUGGAUAUGUCCUCGUCUUCUGCUCAGGGUGCCGGGCGGCCUGGAGUUGAGAUUGCGGACUUGAUCUUCCCGGACCUUCUGAGGCCUCGGUCGUGGACAGAUGGCGGCUGGAUGACUCUUUGGCCCAGCAUCAGCCAAAAGUCCCAUUGAAGGGAUGCAAGAGAUAACAAGCUGUGUGCACGACCCACCACUCACCAGCUGUAUUGGAACAGAAAGUAUACGGAGUAAGUUUUCCUGUUUAGAAAAUGGUGCUUUGGAGCACAUCUUUUCGCCUUUGUCAGGAAAUGAGCAAUUCACUUCACAAGUGGGCAGCAGCAGCUUGAUCCACUCACAAACACUUCAUGGGUACACCAGCAGUCCAGUUCAGUAGAGUCGGGAUUGCAGCGGUGGCACGGCGUAGCAGAGACAACCAGGCCUCAGCUGAAGGCACUAAUCAUCAUUGGACUUUCAGGAUUAUCGGGAGACAUUCUCAGCUGUUCCUCUCUUAUGGAAGUGAAGAUGGGAAACCAAGAAGCAUUUGACUAUGCAAGCAAGCCAAGCCCUUCUCAUAGUACCCCGAGUCCUACUUCUACUCCCUCCAAAUGUCGCGUGUCCUCCACAGGACUUGUCUCACCAUGUCUUGCCUCAGCAGUACUCUCCUUCACGAAUCUGAUUUUGCCUUUUGCCUGUGUCUACUAAAGUGAAACCUUCAUUCUUGUACUUGCCUCAUCAGAACACCAUCCAGCACAACUUACUUUCCAAAGAACCCUUAAUCUUCCACUUCAACAGUGGAACAACAAUGACUUUUAAUAAUCAGAUCUUUCACAUACUUACAUAAAUCCAUUAAAGCCUAUCUUCCCAUAUUUAUUUCUGUCAUCAUCCAGACAAUGGCAUAUUAGAUUCCUUGAAAAGCUCAUGAAGUUCAUAGUGGCAAAUGAAUCCAUUGCAGUUGAGGUCUUCAGCAAAAGAGGAAGGAAAAAACAGCCAAAGAAAAGAGAAAAAAGACUACAAAUCAAAUUGUAAGAAUAUCAUCACUUUCAGGCCUGCCUAAUUAAAAUCUUUUUUAUCCUUUGAAAUCUAAGUAUGUGUGGAAGAGGAAUGUAUAUUUUAACUGAAGGGUAAUGUUUUAUUUAUAUCAUGUAUCUUGCAUUUUAAAAUGUGUACAAAUCUUUAUUUAAAAACAUCCCUGAUUAUAAGAAACUAUAGUUUCUAAGGUAUUAUUAAAUCAUAGAAACAAGGAGAGUCUUAGAAAUAAUGUUUUAUACAACAACAAACUGUCACGGUGUAACCUAAUUUCUACUGUCUCUAUGCAGGAUGUAGGAUUUGAUCUGUAUUCUUUUCUUUUUGCAAAAUGGGUUUUAUGGUUUCGCAGUGAUUUUAUCUUAAAGCAUGUCUGAGCAGGAGUAACAGCUUCGAGGGUCAAUUUUUUGAGUUAAUGUGAACAAACUUUAAUCUCAGACAAAUAGAUAGUUCAACAGAAUAAGGGAGCACUGUGUAAAGCAGGCGUGAAAAGUGAUUCUAUAGGGUUGGGGAUUUAGCUCAAUGGUAGAGCGCUUGCCUAGCAAGCUCAAGGCCCUGGAUUCAGUCCUCAGCUCCAAAAAAAAACAAAAAAAAAAAACAAAAAAAAAAAAAAAGACAAAACAAAAAAAAGACAAAACAAAAAAAAGUGAUUCUAUAAGCACUUAGUGAUGGAGGAUUGCAACUGAAGACUGCUUACUCCAACCAAAGGUCAAAUUUUCCUGCUCAUUUCCUACUGUGGUGUUUUGAGAGUGCUUGGCCCAUGGGAAGUGGCACUAUUAGGAGCUGUGGCCUUGUUGGAAGAAGUGCAUCCCUGUGAGAGUGGGCUUUGAGGUCUUAUUGCUCUGCCUAGUGCAAAUGAAAUGCUCUUCCUGGCUGCCUUCAGAACAAGAUAUAGAACUCUCAGCUCCUCCAGCACCAUGUCUGCCUGGACACUGCCAUGCUUCCUGCCAUGAUGAUAUGGACUGAGCUCCUAAAACUGUAAGCCAGGCUCAAUUAAAUGUUUUACUUCAUAAAAAAAAAAAA